GUCACUAUACUUUCAGGAAUAAUUUCUAUAGUUUCUGACUUGAGAAAUGUGUUUCUAAAGUGUAUGGUCUUGUUAACCACAGUGAUGAAUCGUGAUAUUUCCUUCUGAGCAUGAAGCUGAUAGAGAAUAAAGAUUAUUUUCAUACUUUCUCUAUUAUUGAUGGCUGUGCUUUGCUUCCUCAUUGAACACUGAGGAAGGGAAUAUGAUCAGA
rnacentral:snoRNA from 1 species